GCUACACAGGGCUCCGGCCCCCCAGGAAUGGAGUUUGACACCCCUGUGCUAUGGUCUCCAUGCCCUUAAUGUGGCACUUCUUCUCGAAAUAAUUCCAGAGGACCCAUCCACUGAAUCGAGUCUAUCUGCAGCCAUAGUGCUGGCAACGUCCUUUAGAUCGAUAGCGACCCGUGCAUCCGUGCCAAGGAGAUGUGGUAGAACCUUUUCAUAUUUCACAUGCAGAACAGAGAGGCGGACGAAGCAGAAAUGGAGCUGCCAAGCUCUGAAGCCUCCAUGCUGUCUGCUGGAGACAUCAAGCCAAGCACAAUAAGUGAUGUCUGCUGGAGAACAAUGGAAUAAAUGUAUGAAGUUUGUUGUGCUGA